GUCCACAUAGCUUAAAUGGUAGAGCACUAGAUUGAAGCUCUGGUUGUAUAGGUUCAAUUCCUGUUGAGGACA
rfam:Sugiyamaella lignohabitans strain CBS 10342 mitochondrion genome.